rnacentral:rRNA from 1 species
UACGGAGGGUGCAAGCGUUGUUCGGAAUCACUGGGCGUAAAGGGCGCGUAGGCGGCCUGAUAAGUAGGGGGUGAAAUCUUGCGGCUCAACCGCAAGGCUGCCUUCUAAACUGUCAGGCUGGAGCACGGUAGAGGCAGAUGGAAUUCCCGGUGUAGCGGUGGAAUGCGUAGAGAUCGGGAAGAACACCAGUGGCGAAGGCGGUCUGCUGGGCCGUUGCUGACGCUGAGGAGCGAAAGCUAGGGGAGCAAACGGG